rnacentral:lncRNA from 1 species
GUAUCGUAACUCAAAAAGUGUCGCUUUAUUUCGAUGAAAUAUAAAUCAAUAAUUAAUUAUUAAUAUAAUAUGUCAUUUUUGUAAUUAUGCCACCUUUAUCGGUCAAAAAUGCGUCAUUGUGGUCCUUGCAGCGUAUUAUCUUUAGUUGUGUCAUUAUAAGUAUGUAUGUACAUCGUUUGCAUACAGAGGUUACUACAAUAUACGAAAUACUAUUUCGAGUUGUGUCUUUAUUUAAGCCUGACUAAUUUCAAUAAUUACGGUCCCCUGCAUUUUAAUUUUUAAAUAAGUCAUUACUGUUCAUUUUAAUGAGCCCGAAACUUAACACACAUUGUAGUGUCAUUUUCAAUCUGGUCACUACCUGUUGUUUCGACGAAGAUCGUGAACCUGGAGACCGAGGAGGCAAUAACUUGUCGAAUUGGCGCGUCAAUGCAACUUGUAGAACAGCUUGGAAACAACUUCAGCAACACGACGAAUGGUGAUGUAGUCAAAAUGGGCGAUAUGAAGGUGUUGAAGUCGUUAAGGAUGGAUCGGGAAUACUGUAUUUCAAAACGUCGUGUGACAGCAGGAUUACGCCAGGAUUAAGGUGAAAGGUAAAAAAAAAGUAAUUGUCAACAUUGAGAAACUCGAAUGCAAAGCAGCGCACACCAAAAAAAUCACUGUUGCGGUGUUGGAAAAUAAAAGAUGUUUCACUCUAUUGUAAUCAUCUGGAUGUCCUUUAUCUCAUUCCUCAUCAAUACACAAUUGUUCUUGUGCCAAAAUAAAUAGUUAAAGGUGAAACGGUGAGUGAGUAACAAAAAAAAAAAAAAAAAUUUAAAAGUGUAUUACUAUGAUCCCGUAGUCAUAAGCACAAAAUGUAGGAGAGAAAACUUCAAGAACUAUGACAGAAU